GUAAAUAAUUGGUGCGGACGACAAAGCAGCAGGGACCGUUAAAAAGAUAUUCGAAACGGAUGAACAGUCGAUCACGAUUUAAACAAUACUUUAAGAAUAACGGUUUUAUCGUUCCCAAAUCCUUCGGCGCUUCUUGGACUGUGCCCGUCAACGGUUCUCGGAAAAAAUGGAAGUACCUUAGAAACAAUGAUGAUAAAUGAAACUUGCGAUACAUUUUCUGUUGAGAUGCAGAUGCAAAACGUGAAACGAUGAAAGGAAAAAGGAAAAGAAGGAAGUAUGAAAGGUGGAAGAGAAGAAGAAGAAGAGGAAGAAGAAGAAGAGGAAGAAGAAGAAGGAAAAGAAAAAAAUAGAAAGGGAAAGGAAAGGGAAGAAAAGUAAGAGAGAGAUUUGCGAGAAGAACUAAGAAAUUGUAAUUGAAAUGAAAAAGUGCAACCGAUGGUCCGACGACGAUAAGUUCGUACUUGUUUAAACUCUUUGCGAAAGUUAUCGUUGAGCCAAGCGUAAAGAAACGGAUUGUAGCAGGUGCUGCUCAUUGCAAGACAAUGCGUCAUAAAAAAGCAAAGUCUGUAGUAGGUCCAAUCGUCGGCCAGUGAAUAAAAGUCGUCGACGACGUUGACAAUGUUCAGCGGUAACCAAGAAAUACCGAAUAUUGUGACCAUGGCUAUCAACAUUCGAUUCGUUCGUUUCUUUCUUUCUCUGUCAGCUUUCUCUUUCUUAUCGGAUUUGGCACCGGGUUUCGAUCUGGCUCGAUCCCUUAGUUUGAUCGAAACACGAGUAUAACAAAAAGCGAUCACUAAGAAGGGUGCAUGUAAAGCCCGUACGGCAGAGUGACCAGCAGAGCCACUGUCCAAAUGCCAAAGAUCACGGCUAGACAAACUUCGAUUUUCAUACGAGGCUGCAACGGGUAUAUGAUUACCAUGAAUCUGUCGAUCGCGAUACUUGUCAAGGUCAGUGUGCUCGUGUACACGCUGACACCUUGAGCGUACGGGACCAAAUGACAAAGGGUUCUGCCGAAUACCCAACUGCCAAGAAACGUGUAAAGAGGCGUGAACGGUACCGCAAGAACACAGAGUAACACGUCACUCAGUGCUAAAUUUGUGAUGAAUAGAUUCGUUACGGUCUGCAUUUGACGACUUCGCGCUACCACGAAACACACUAACGCGUUACCGAACACUCCCGAAAUAAAGAUGCUCGCGUAAAGAAUAGAAAAAAUAAUUUGCACCAUAGGGUUGGAUAUCACGUCGCCCUCGACGCUUGAACGACUCGAAUUACCCUCGUUCCAGUUUGUCUCCUCAUACACAUUUGCCAUCGCGUUCAUUGUUGAUUUAUAUCGUUUUCGUUUUCGUUUUUUACAGGAAACGAUUGAUCAUUCUUCCUCGCAUGCUUUGUCGUUGACAAACUGUGAGCGCAAAUUACAUUUUUGCGACUGUCUUGAUUUCAGGAAAACGAAUAGACGGAAGACGCGCGCCGAAACUGAUCGUGGGACGCGACGCGACGCGACGCGACGCAACGCGAUCGUCUCUCGUCUCGCGCAUCCCAUGAAAGCUACCCCUUUUUCCUACUAACUAGUCUUUUCCUCCGAAUUGGUUCCAUCGAAUCGAACGAGCUAUCUUAAAAAUAGGAAAAUCUGCUAUGUCUCGAGGUUAACCGGUUGAAAACAAUCUCCAGAAAUAGAACCAAUCUGCGCACUCGUGACUCGUCCGCUACCUCUUUUUUCCAUCAGGAAUGCGUCAACUACAGUCGCUAUGCGAAAGAAUUCUUCUAGUUGCCUCGUGAUCUCGUACGACUCGUAAAAUUUGAAAUUUGAAAUUUCACGAAUCGAUCGCUCAGAAGAAUAUAUACGCGCGCGACGCGCGUACAAGAUGCGCAACCGUUAAAUUCGAUUUCAAGCCACCUGUUGAAAUCUUUGUUCGAUCAUCCGUCAUGAUCGCUCAAUGUCUCGUGAUUCGCGCCGGAAAAGGAAAAAGCAUACAAAAGAGACAAAGAAGAUAAAGAAGAAGAGGAGAGACGACGAUGAUAAUAAUAAAAACACAAUUCGACGCAAUCUUUUUUCGAAAAAUGAAUCGCAUCGGGAGUACAUAAAAGCAAAUUUCCGAUAAACGAUGCAUGUAAUCACUCUCGAGUCGAACAAGAAUAUCACGUAAUAGUCUUAAAUCCUCUUCGGACGAUACUCGGAAACUCGAUAUGUCCGUUUUCAAACAUUUUUAAACAUUUUUUUCUGUAGAUCUUCAAUGUUUUACCGAACAAGCGAAAAGAGGGUGGUUAAGCGCAAACGGAAACGUAGAAAGCAAAGAUACGCGCGACAUUAUGCGAAACGCAACGACAAAAUAUAACGAAACGCAUUCACCGCCGGCCUUUUCUAUCGACGACUGAGAAUGAAAAAUCGCUGGUGAAGUGAACCGGUCGUGUGCCACCGUUCCUUCGCGCAGGCGUUUACAAUACACCAUAUGUCCGGACUCUAGAGUCUAGACCAACGGUGGGCAAAUGCGACCCUUAGAUAAGUUAAGUGCGGCUCCCAUUGAA